UCUCUGCUAGUAUAUCGGCUAGUACACGCGCCUGUCAUAUUCCACGCCUUUCAUAUUCCAUGCCUGUGCGCGCGAAAGCUGGGUUCGACUCCCAGGCAGAGAG